rnacentral:rRNA from 1 species
AUUGAACGCUGGCGGCAGGCCUAACACAUGCCAGUCGAGCGGAUGAAGGGAGCUUGCUCCUGGAUUCAGCGGCGGACGGGUGAGUAAUGCCUAGGAAUCUGCCUGGUAGUGGGGGAUAACGUCCGGAAACGGGCGCUAAUACCGCAUACGUCCUGAGGGAGAAAGUGGGGGAUCUUCGGACCUCACGCUAUCAGAUGAGCCUAGGUCGGAUUAGCUAGUUGGUGGGGUAAAGGCCUACCAAGGCGACGAUCCGUAACUGGUCUGAGAGGAUGAUCAGUCACACUGGAACUGGAACACGGUCCAGACUCCUACGGGAGGCAGCAGUGGGGAAUAUUGGACAAUGGGCGAAAGCCUGAUCCAGCCAUGCCGCGUGUGUGAAGAAGGUCUUCGGAUUGUAAAGCACUUUAAGUUGGGAGGAAGGGCAGUAAGUUAAUACCUUGCUGUUUUGACGGUACCAACAGAAUAAGCACCGGCUAACUUCGUG